AUUGAACGCUGGCGGCAUGCUUUACACAUGCCAGUCGAACGACAGCGCGGGCUUCGGCCUGGCGGCGAGUGGCGAACGGGUGAGUAAUACAUCGGAACGUGCCCAGUAGUGGGGGAUAGCUCGGCGAAAGCCGGAUUAAUACCGCAUACGACCUGAGGGUGAAAGCGGGGGAUCUUCGGACCUCGCGCUAUUGGAGCGGCCGAUGGCAGAUUAGCUAGUUGGUGGGGUAAAGGCCUACCAAGGCGACGAUCUGUAGCUGGUCUGAGAGGACGACCAGCCACACUGGGACUGAGACACGGCCCAGACUCCUACGGGAGGCAGCAGUGGGGAAUUUUGGACAAUGGGCGAAAGCCUGAUCCAGCAAUGCCGCGUGUGUGAUGAAGGCCUUCGGGUUGUAAAGCACUUUUGGCGGGAACGAAAAGGACUGUGCCAAUACCACGGUUCGAUGACGGUACCCGCAGAAUAAGCACCGGCUAACUACGU
rnacentral:rRNA from 1 species